rnacentral:rRNA from 1 species
CCCUAAAAGCCAUCCCAGUUCGGAUCGCAGGCUGCAACCCGCCUGCGUGAAGUUGGAAUCGCUAGUAAUCGCGGAUCAGCAUGCCGCGGUGAAUACGUUCCCGGGCCUUGUACACACCGCCCGUCACACCAUGAGAGUCGGGAACACCCGAAGUCCGUAGCCUAACUGCAAAGGGGGCGCGGCCGAAGGUGGGUUCGAUAAUUGGGGUGAAGUCGUAACAAGGUAAC